rnacentral:rRNA from 1 species
UGCGCCUUGCCAGCCCGCUACAGAAACUUAAAGGAAGUUGACGGGGGCCCGCACAAGCGGUGGAGCAUGUGGUUUAAUUCGAUGAUACGCGAGGAACCUUACCUGGGCUCAAAUGUAUGUUUGACGUAUUCUGAAAGGGAUACUUCUUCGGACAAUAUACAAGGUGCUGCAUGGUUGUCGUCAGCUCGUGCCGUGAGGUGUCGGGUUAAGUCCCAUAACGAGCGCAACCCCUAUCAUUAGUUGCCAUCAGGUCAAGCUGGGGACUCUAAUGAAACUGCCUACGCAAGUAGUGAGGAAGGUGGGGAUGACGUCAAAUCAGCACGGCCCUUACGUCCAGGGCUACACACGUGUUACAAUGGCCAGUACAGAGGGCAGCCACCCCGCGAGGGGGCGCUAAUCCUAAAAGCUGGUCCCAGUUCGGAUCGGAGUCUGCAACCCGACUCCGUGAAGCUGGAUUCGCUAGUAAUCGCGCACCAGCCACGGCGCGGUGAAUACGUUCCCGGGCCUU